AAUGAUUGGCUAAAUAGCUCAAAUCGACGAGCAGGAUUAGCCAAUCAGAAAGUCGUAACGUUGAGGGGCGGGGUUUGAUGAAAACAGCCAAAACGAAUGUGAACUAAUGCUAAGCUUGCGAGACCAGAAAGGAAAAAGAUAAGUUUUAUAACUUGGCUCUGUUUUAGACUUUUAGUACCAUGUAAACGCUCGGGAACGCAAAAUACAUCGAACAGUUUAAUCACAAAGUUUUUUUCUCGGCAUUAUGGGGACCAGAUCGAGUCGGUUACAAGAGGAAUCGGUGUGCGGACCGCUGGAGAAGGACGGCGGCGUAAAGCGAGAGCCUUUUCGGCGGAUCCGCAGCUCCAGGCCCAGCAGCCUCGCGCUCGAUUUCUCCUCCAGCUUUGACCGCGAUUCAGACGCGAAACAGAGCCGCAGCGAAGAAGGCAGUGACUCGGACACCGGCCACCGCGUUCCCCCGACGGACAGCGAUAACGGUACCGGCCGCACUAUUGAACCGGAGAUCGAUAACGAUGACAACAGUCCCGGAAGCCCCGAGCGCUUCUCCUCACAGGAACCAGCGGGCAGUGUCGCGCUUCGGGCCUCAGCUGAGCGACUAGCCGGUGCACGGAGACACUCGUCCGGGCGGAACAGCACUGCGAGAUCGGCGCGGGUCCGGACCGCCAGACCAGUUUCAGAGGCGUGGAUAGGGCUAUACAGAGUCAGACACAGCACAGUGCUAUGUCCGUUCUGCACCAGGACGUUCCCCGGAGGUCGUAUCGAGGAGCACCUUCUCACCUGUCUCACCUCUCCACCUCUGCCUUAUAACACUGAUGUUUUGAGUAAAGACAGUGGAGAGUGUUCCAUUUGCCUGGAGGAGCUGCUGCUGGGGGACACCAUCGCUCGCCUCGCCUGUCUCUGUGUCUACCACAAAAAGUGUAUUGACUCAUGGAGCUCAGUGAAGCCCUGCUGCCCUGAGCAUCCUUUCAACUGACCGUGGUUUCCUCUCUGACUGCUCAACUCAGGUCAGAUAACACGCAGCCACCAACAACAUUUACAACACCACCUUCAACCACCUGAGAAAAGACUUUAACGUGUGGAUUAGAGCUGAGCAAUGAAUCAAAUUAUUGCACAGCUCGAGUGUGCAGUGAAAUUCCCAGAUGUGUUUCAAUACUCUCUGUAAAGUACCCAGGAAACACUUCCAUGUGACUCCAUGCUGCUGCUCACUCUGUCAGCGUGCUACAGUGCGGGUGGAGGAGGACUGAAAUGAGUUGCUGUUUUACUUUGCACCAUUACAGGACACCGCUCGCUGUGAGACACUAAAACAACUAGAUAAGGCCUAAAGACGAGCAGAACUGUUUCACACUCAGAAAGGAACAAGCCUUGUGUGUGUUGGUUGGAGAUUUAUUUUAUGAGCUAAAGGAGUUUAUUUUAUUAUCUGUAAAUGCUACUUACGUUGCACUGGAGAUGAAAACGGCAUUUAAUUUUUUUAUAAGUGCAGUUCGGACCUUCAGCCUCGCCUCAUUACACACUUUGAAUGCUUUAGGUUACAGUGACUUUUUUUUUUUUUGGCUGGUAUUUAAUUGGCUGUGCCAUCGUGUAAGGGGGUGGGGUGGGGGAGGUUAUGGUUUGGGGUUAUGGUGACUUAUGACUCUGAUUAGUCAGAAAGUGGACUUCACACACUAUCUAAGAAAGUGAAAAUGUUUUACUUCCUCUUGAGCUUUACCCUCACAUUAAGGCAUCUCUUACACUCACACACACACAGGCUUUACAGAGUUUUUGCUUUUUUCAAUAUGACCAUUUUAAACACUUACAUUUAUUAAACACAGAAAUGCUCUGUUUAUUAUAAUUUUAAUAAUAAUAAUAGCAUCAAAUCAGAUCUCACAGUGCUUUACAUUAAAGUCUGCCUGUUUUGUUAGUAUUAUUAUUAUUAUUAUUAUUAUUAUCAGCCUCGCUCUGGAUUUUUGCCAAACGUGGUGUUCUAAACAUAUUUAUAAUAAACUUCACUUCUGUAGCAUUUUUAUUGCGAACAUAUUAGUGUGUGUUUCAGCCUUUCAGGUGUGAUGUCAUCAGUACUGUUCUAAUCAUCAUCAUAGCUAUAAGCGCUUCGAGAUGAUUUUCCUCUGGGGCACAGAGAACCCUGUGUGUGUGUGGGGCAGUGUUUUAAGGCAGUGUGAUUUCACAAUCCUGAAAUACACAUUGGUGACAAAGGUGAUGAUGAUGUGAUUUACAGUGAGUGAAACGCUGACACAUCUCAAAACCUCAUAAUUAAAUGUUUUUUAUAUCUACACUGUGUGAUGUUACAUGUUGGUGUGAGUUAAAAUUUGGAUCAGAGUUGUCUGCACACACGCACACACUGUUUAUUUAUUACAGUGUAAACAUGUUCACCUGUUUCAUUUUGUACGUCUGUAAAGAAAAAUGGUUUUGUAUGUAUUUUUACAAUAAAGAUGUUUAAGAUUGGGACCUUGA